rnacentral:piRNA from 1 species
AGCCAUCAGGAAUAGGGGGACUUUUGCU